ensembl:lncRNA
AGAGCAUCCAAAACGCCCUACAGCAAGGCGGUUAGGAAACUGAGGCGAAGUCAUUCGAUGGGCUUAGACCACAGCGCAAGGCCCUUGCGCCCUUAGCACGCAGCUUGGCUCACGGGAGGAACUUUAACGAAGGCUCCGAGACGAGGGGGUCCCGGCCGUCCGAGGUGCGAUUCGAACUCGGCUCCUCCACUCCGGGCUUCCUCCCAAGGCUUAACUCCCCACCCAGAGGGCCCUUCCUGGGGGGAUGAGAACCCGCCCCCCCUUCAUCCCGGGUAGCCCUUGGCACGGCCCGACUCCGGCCUGGGGGGGGGUCUGGGGAGGGCCACCGGAGGAGCCCCGUCUGUUGCUUAAGCCUGUUUUUGAGGCGACUCAUUUACGCCAGUUCCGGCCGAGCUCAGACGCGCCCGGGAGGGCUGCUGGGAAGAGGCUGACCACAGCCGGAGCCGCCUGCCUCCUCGCAGCGUGUGAUGCUUUUGGUCUCAGAAAUCGGAGCCCGGUUGCAAAACUCAUUUCCCGCAGGGCUCCCCCGGCUAGGUCAGCUGGAGGAAGCCCAGGGCGGGCCUCUUCCCCAGGAGGGAAGAACGAAGGCCAACGCAUCAGCGGGGAUUGUCUGCCGCCCAGGGAAGGGGAGGGGGGCCGGGAAGCGACCCCCCCCACUCCCCCUCCCCGCCAAGAUCCAGAUCCAAAUCCCGCCCCAGGGAUGGGCAAGACACUUUGCUAUCCCAGAGCUCGGUAGAAUGCUGGGAUAAGAUUAUGUGACCCAUGAUAUCCUUCCAGCCCUAAAUCUUUGACGAGGUCAUGGACUCUCUGUGCCUCAGCUUUUCCAUCUGUAAAGUGGGGUUCUCUCUCACAGAGCUCACAGGGACACAGAUUAGAGCUGGAAGGGGCCACCAAGACCAUCCAAUCCAAGCCUUUCAAUUUUUUUUUUUCCAGAAGAAGCUAAUGCGGUCCAAAGACACCAAGUAAUUUGUCCAAGGUGACCUGUAGAAUAAUAUCUGGAACACCUUAGAGCUCCACCCAUCCAUCCUUUUCCACUGGAUGGAGGAGGGAAUUGAUAAUCCGGGAAGAGCUGGGGUGGAAACUCCAGGCAUCCAGACCCCAAAAUAUAUGAAUAAAAAUGGGAUUCUAAGGCUUAACGGCCACAGAAUCACAGGACUGGAGUCUUGGUGCUCCCUGCUUCAGUCUGCUACCUUACAGAUAAGGAGGUUGGUCAGACAGGAUUCAAACACAAAGCCCUCUGUUCCAUAGCAGCCAAAGCUCUAGAAGAAAGGAGGUAGAAAACUGUAGCUUCUGGAGGCUUGUCCAAGAUCAUAGAUAAUAAGGAGCAAAGAGGACAAGACUGAUGGUCUUAUUAAUUAUAUGCAUUGAUAACAAUAAAAGCAGAGAUCAUUGGAUUGAUAAAUAAAAAAAAAUAGCUGUUUUUUUUAAGGAAUAGAAAACUAACUUACAAGUGAAUUCUAUCUAACAUCCAAAGAACAAUUAGUUCUGAUACUACGUAGAUUGUCUAGGGUAAUAAGAAGAUACUCUUCUUUGAUACAAAUAUAGUUUUGAUACAAGAACCAGGUAGAGACAAAGCAGAGAAAGAAACUAAAGACUAUUAUCUUUAAUGAAUAAUAGUGUAAAAAAUUUUAAAUGAAACAUUAGCAAGUUGAUUAUGACAACAUACAACAAAAAUUACACAUUAUAAUCAGUUUGGGUUUACACCAGAAGUGCAGAUUAGUUCAACGCAAGCAAAACUAUUACUAUCAUAAACUGUGCUAGUAAUGUAAAUAAUUAAAAUCAUGCGAUUAUCUCAAUAGAUCCUGAAAGGAUUUUUGACAAAGCCCAAUACUUUUUUCUUUAAAAACUCUAUAUUUAUUUGAGGAAUAAAUAAACUUCUCUUUAAUAUAGGAAGAAAUAUUUAACUAAAUCUAAGAACAUAAUUUGUAAUGGAGAAAAACUAGAGGUUUUUCCAAUAAGAUCAAGGGCAUCUAGUCUCAUCACUAUUUAACAUAGGGCUAGAAAUGUUAGUUACAGCAAUAAGAUAAGAAAAAAAAGAGACCAAGGGAUUGAUCAAUCAGAAAGGAAUUAAAAUUUCUGUUUUUUGGGGGGUUUUUUUUUGUUUUUGUUUUUUGCAGAGAACACACACUAAAUUUGGGAAAUUGAUAUAAUUAUUUUUCACACACAAAGAGGGAGAAGACUAGAUUUGGAACAUUGGGCUUAAAUCUGGAGUUACUAUGUGACCUUAAAUAAGUUCAGUAACAUCUCUGGAUCUUAGUUUCUUCAACAGUAAACCGAGGGAUUUGGAUCAGCUGACUACCAAGGUCUCUUUUAUGAUUUUAUAAUUUAUUCUGCUUGGCCCCCAGAAGGCAGAACAAUGGGUGGAUAUUAUGGCAAGGCAUGUAAGGAAAUGCUUCUUCAUAAAAUAUGAAAUGUAUUGUCAUUGAGGUCUCCAAAUGAGUAGAUGAAAUAGAUAUAAAAAGUCACAUCAGAAACAUAUUAGAGGAGCCAGCAAGACACCACCUUUCAGAUCUGCAGAUAGGGGAAUAAUUCACGAUAAAACAAAUGAGAGGAUCGUAGGAGAUAAAACGGGCACUUUGGGGUUACAUAAAAUUAAGGAAGUUUACAUCAAAUUAGAAGUGAAAAAAUUACUUAACUGUAACUGCAAAAGUUAAAAAUAAUUGAGAUGAGUGCAGCAAGUUUCUCUGACAAAGAUGCAGUUUCCAAGGUACAUAGAAAUGAUUCAAAUUUGUAAGAAUAAGAGCAAUUUCCCUCCCAACUGAUACAUGAAGACAUUUUCCAUAUGACUAAUCCAAGCUAUCAAGAACCAUAUGAAUAUGCUCCAAAUCACUAAUUCUGUUGUUGUCCAAUGGCUUUCUGUCAUGUUUGACCUUUUGUGAUCCUAUUUGGAGUUUUCUUAAGAUUUGGGAUCUUUCUAUGGGGGGGGGGCAUACUACAUGCCAGUUCUUUUUAGAUAAGGAAAGUGAGGCAGAGUGAAGUGACUUGCCCAGGGUCACACAGCUAGUAAGUAUCUGAGGCUGGAUUUGAACUUGGGAAGAUGAGAGAAUCUUCAGAUCUAGUGCCGGUUCCAUCCAUGAAGGAUAAUAGGUGCUAAAGAUUGACAAGGAAUCCUAGGAGUGCAAUGAAAAAACGACAAAGUCCCUGCCCUCACGAAGAUUCCAUUUUGCUGGGUGAGGAUAGUUAUGACUUUAGAGCAGCAAGGGAAAAUAUUGCUAUUAAAAAAUGGGUUUUAUAGAAAACAGACUAGAAAAAUGGAGUAUAACAGGGAAAACUGUUGAUCUUCAGAGAGUGAGGACCUGGAUUGGAUUCGAAGCUUUGACAGGAACUGAGCUUGUAUGCUCAUUCAUAAUAUGAGCCCAUAAAAUGAUGUCCCCUAAAGUCCCUUCCAAUUCUAAAUCUAUAAUUUGAAGAAGUAUAAAGAACCAAUUAACACAGUCACAAGAAUUCCAGUAGCAGUUGGAAGCUCCAGUGGAAGUGACUUUAUAUUGACAUAUCAUUGUCCUAUGGUGCCUUCAGUAAGAAACUGAAAGUGUUAGCCAGUGUGAAGGGUAGCAGGAGGCACUCGCUGUGGCAAGGGUGCUCAUUGGGGAGGGAGGAAAGGGAUGGGUUUUCUGAUAACACAAUCUGCCUUCCAGUGAUAAUAGAAAAGAUGCAGGGGGCCAGAUAGCCCAGAACGAAGAAGAGCUAGAGAUAGAGAGAAGGGAAGCCGAGGGAAAGUGCUCCCGGGCUGAUAGUGGAGCCUGUGUGGACAGAAAGGCCGGCUUCACAAGCCACUAACUGAACAACUGCUGGAUGCGACUUUUUUUAAAUUAAAAAAGAAAAUGCUUUAAACGUAGCAACUGUUGAUGAAACAAACAAGAAAUA